GUGCAUUGUAGUUGCAUUGCAUGUGCCGCCAUGUUGUGCAAUGUGUCUGCAGUGCAAUA
rnacentral:pre_miRNA from 1 species